AUCAACGGACUCCGGCAGGUCCUCGUUAUCGUCGGCGUGGUACCUGGCGCUGAGCUUCCUCUCCCUCUGCGGCUUGGUCCUGACGCCGAGGUAGGUGGCGCGGUACUCUUCGUUGGUGAGGUCGGCGAAGCGGUUGAGCCCCAGGCGGAAGGAGUGGACGCCCGCGUCGGCGGCGGCGUUGUGCUCGUCGAUGAUGCGGAGGUUGUCCCUGAACACCUGAUACCGCCUCUCCUCCUCGCCGAUGGCGUUGUAGGUCCGGCCGUGCGUCGCCAUCCACUCCGCGUACAUCCGCCGCGUCUCCUCCUCGCUCCGCUCCCCGUAGGAGAUGAUCGACAUGUCCGCCGCCGCGGCGAGCGACACGAGCAGCAGCAGCGCUGCCGCCGCCGCCGCCAGCGACGUGGU
rnacentral:lncRNA from 1 species